rnacentral:rRNA from 1 species
UACGUAGGGUGCGAGCGUUGUCCGGAAUUAUUGGGCGUAAAGGGCUCGUAGGCGGUCUGUCACGUCGGAUGUGAAAGCCCGGGGCUUAACCCCGGGUCUGCAUUCGAUACGGGCAGACUAGAGUGUGGUAGGGGAGAUCGGAAUUCCUGGUGUAGCGGUGAAAUGCGCAGAUAUCAGGAGGUACACCGGUGGCGAAGGCGGAUCUCUGGGCCAUUACUGACGCUGAGGAGCGAAAGCGUGGGGAGCGAACAGG